rnacentral:rRNA from 1 species
CCUAAUACAUGCAAGUCGAACGAAGCUUUCUUUCACCGAAUGCUUGCAUUCACCGAAAGAAGCUUAGUGGCGAACGGGUGAGUAACACGUAGGCAACCUGCCCAAAAGAGGGGGAUAACACUUGGAAACAGGUGCUAAUACCGCAUAACCAUGGACAUCGCAUGAUGUUCAUGUAAAAGACGGCGUUUGCUGUCACUUUUGGAUGGGCCUGCGUCUGAUUAGCUAGUUGGUGGGGUAACGGCCUACCAAGGCGAUGAUCAGUAGCCGGUCUGAGAGGAUGAACGGCCACAUUGGGACUGAGACACGGCCCAGACUCCUACGGGAGGCAGCAGUGGGGAAUCUUCCGCAAUGGGCGAAAGCCUGACGGAGCAAUGCCGCGUGAGUGAUGAAGGAAUUCGUUCCGUAAAGCUCUUUUGUUUAUGACGAAUGUGCAGAUUGUGAAUAAUGAUCUGUAAUGACGGUAGUAAACGAAUAAGCCACGGCUAACUACGUG